rnacentral:rRNA from 1 species
UACAUGGGGUGCAAACGUUGCUCGGAAUUAUUGGGCGUAAAGAGCUCGUAGGCGGUUCGGUAAGUCAGGUGUGAAAUCUCCACGCUCAACGUGGAGGCGCCACCUGAAACUGCCGUGACUCGAGUCCGGUAGGGGAGUGUGGAAUUCCCGGUGUAGCGGUGAAAUGCGCAGAUAUCGGGAGGAACACCAGUGGCGAAGGCGGCACUCUGGGCCGAUACUGACGCUGAGGCACGAAAGCGUGGGGAGCAAACAGG